ensembl:misc_RNA Y_RNA Y RNA
GGCUGUUCCGAUGGUAGUGGGUUAUCAGAACUUAUUAACAUUAGUGACACUAAAGUUGUUAUUCAACCCCCCACUGCUAAAUUUGACUGGCUUAUU